GCGUAAAGAGCUCGUAGGCGGUUUGUCGCGUCUGCUGUGAAAACGCGAGGCUCAACCUCGCGCCUGCAGUGGGUACGGGCAGACUAGAGUGCGGUAGGGGAGACUGGAAUUCCUGGUGUAGCGGUGGAAUGCGCAGAUAUCAGGAGGAACACCGGUGGCGAAGGCGGGUCUCUGGGCCGUAACUGACGCUGAGGAGCGAAAGCAUGGGGAGCGAACAGGAUUAGAUACCCUGGUAGUCCAUGCCGUAAACGUUGGGCACUAGGUGUGGGGCUCAUUCCACGAGUUCCGUGCCGCAGCAAACGCAUUAAGUGCCCCGCCUGGGGAGUACGGCCGCAAGGCUAAAACUCAAAGGAAUUGACGGGGGCCCGCACAAGCGGCGGAGCAUGCGGAUUAAUUCGAUGCAACGCGAAGAACCUUACCAAGGCUUGACAUACACCGGAAAGAUGCAGAGAUGUGUCCCCCGCAAGGUCGGUGUACAGGUGGUGCAUGGUUGUCGUCAGCUCGUGUCGUGAGAUGUUGGGUUAAGUCCCGCAACGAGCGCAACCCUCGUCCUAUGUUGCCAGCACGUAAUGGUGGGGACUCAUAGGAGACUGCCGGGGUCAACUCGGAGGAAGGUGGGGAUGACGUCAAAUCAUCAUGCCCCUUAUGUCUUGGGCUUCACGCAUGCUACAAUGGCCGGUACAAAGGGCUGCGAUACCGCAAGGUGGAGCGAAUCCCAAAAAGCCGGUCUCAGUUCGGAUUGGGGUCUGCAACUCGACCCCAUGAAGUCGGAGUCGCUAGUAAU
rnacentral:rRNA from 1 species